AACUUUCAACAACGGAUCUCUUGGUUCUGGCAUCGAUGAAGAACGCAGCGAAAUGCGAUAAGUAGUGUGAAUUGCAGAAUUCAGUGAAUCAUCGAAUCUUUGAACGCACAUUGCGCCCCUUGGUAUCCCGAGGGGCAUGCCUGUUCGAGCGUCAUU
rnacentral:rRNA from 2 species